AUCAUUGUCUUUAUGUUCGUAGAGCUGGAUUCCCAAGAUCAUCAACAAAAGAGUGUGCACAACUUUUGUUGAAAACACUUUGAGUAACGGUGGACUCUGUCAGUGUGGUGGGGUGCGAGAAUUGCAUGACUCCGUGGCAACAGGAGACAACUUCGGAGCAGCAAUUGUUACCCAGUGGGACAGCCAGCAGCACUCAUCUGAAUAUCCUACAGAUGCUUUUGGAGAGUUGGAGUUUGCUGGAGCUGGACGCAGACACAGCCAUUUUCUGCGUCUAUCGUGUGACACACCUCCACAUAUCAUCUACACUCUGAUAACAGCCCAUUGGGGCCUCCCCUCCCCCAACCUCGUGGUAUCAGUGGUGGGAGGUGAGGGACAUGAGAAGAUUAAGCCGUGGGUGAGAGAUAUCCUAAGAAAAGGGCUGGUUAGGGCUGCACAGAGUACAGGUAAGAAAUCAUCACUCUGCAUGGAUCCAGCUUAUGUUUAACGUGGAAACUUUGAACUGCAGUAUUAAUUAGUUUGAAUGAAUCCAGGAUAUCAGCGGAUUCUUUUUCUAGAGUGCAGGUCUACUGGAUAACAGGGACAACUGAAACUAAAAUUAUUCAAAUUAUAUCAUCUUAAAUCCAUCUUUAAGUCAAAAAUUAACACAUUUGGUAUGUGGGUGGGGAUAGAUUAUCUGGGGUAGGAUAGGCUCACAAACAAAGCAGCUUUUCUCACUCUCCUGUGUGGCUUGUGGCAACUUCACUGGUCUGUCAACGUUCUAAUUUUAACUCCAGCUUGUGCAGUAUUUUAUUUUGACAAAUAAUAACAUCCACCUCCAUUCUACCUUCUUCCAGCAAAGACUCUUUACACACAUCUGCAGUUCAAUCAUCUCUAUUGUAGUUACUUCAACUGAAUCCCUAGCAGUGGCACAGUUAAUAAUUGUUGGUGAUUUCAACAUUCAUGUUGACAAUCCCCAAGACCGAGGGGCAAAAAAGCUCUGUAAUAUAUUUGAGAGUUUUGGUUUAACACAACAUGUCAAACAAGCAACGCACACUCAUGGACACACA